UACAGAGGGGGCGAGCGUUGUUCGGAAUUACUGGGCGUAAAGGGCGCGUAGGCGGCCUGCUAAGUCGAACGUGAAAUCCUGGAGCUCAACUCCAGAACUGCCUUCGAUACUGAAGAUCUUGAGUUCGGGAGAGGUGAGUGGAACUGCGAGUGUAGAGGUGAAAUUCGUAGAUAUUCGCAAGAACACCAGUGGCGAAGGCGGGUCUCUGGACAGUUCCUGACACUGAGGCACGAAGGCCAGGGGAGCAAACGGG
rnacentral:rRNA from 1 species